GACGAACGCUGGCGGCGUGCUUAACACAUGCAAGUCGAACGAUGAAGCCGGAGCUUGCUCUGGUGAAUUAGUGGCGAACGGGUGAGUAACACGUGAGUAACCUGCCCUUGACUCUGGGAUAACUGCGGGAAACUGUAGCUAAUACCGGAUACGACCCUCGGAGGCAUCUCCUGGGGGUGGAAAGAAUUUCGGUCAAGGAUGGACUCGCGGCCUAUCGGCUAGUUGGUGAGGUAAAGGCUCACCAAGGCGACGACGGGUAGCCGGCCUGAGAGGGUGACCGGCCACACUGGGACUGAGACGCGGCCCAGACUCCUACGGGAGGCAGCAGUGGGGAAUAUUGCACAAUGGGCGCAAGCCUGAUGCAGCAACGCCGCGUGAGGGAUGACGGCCUUCGGGUUGUAAACCUCUUUUAGCAGGGAAGAAGCGAAAGUGACGGUACCUGCAGAAGAAGCACCGGCUAACUACGUGCCAGCAGCCGCCGUAA
rnacentral:rRNA from 1 species